UUCAGUCUAAUCCUCCGUGAUAUAAACGUAGUGACAGAAAUAAUUUUUAAUAAUUUUCGAAAUCACAUACAUAAAAAAUUGAAUGUAAAUAUAUCGAUGGAUUAAUAAAAUAUAUAUAAAAUUAUAUGUAAUCGUUUAAAAUUAAUAUUUGCACGCAUUAUAAUAAAAUUGAAAGAUGACAGAAGAAGGAAAAAAAAUUUCUUUUGGUUUUGCCAAAACCUUAAAGAAGCCUAUAUUAAAAAAUAAACUUCCUCAGGAACAAAAGAAAGUUGAUUAUAUCGAAUGUCUAGAUGAUAAAGAUAUUAAAAUUAUUGGAGAAGAAGAAAAAAAAGAUGAACCUCUGGUCAUUCCAUUGUUGGGCUCAAAAAUGUGGCACGACAGAAUUGUCAAUAAAAUAGAUGCAGACAUUUUUGAACCUAAACUAGUGCCAAACGAAGAAGUAAAAGUACAAAUUGAUGUUAAAAAAGAAACGAGUAGUGAAAUAACUAAUGGAAAUACUACACCAAUUCAUACUGACAUUCCUCAUGCGGUUAUUAAAACUGAGCCAGUGGAUACGACGUCUAUAGAAACUACUGGAAGUAGUUUGGAAGAACAAGCAGCUAAAGAAAUUAUAGAAGAUUUAAAAUCUACAGGAGCUAAAGGAACAUCUGAAAUUUUAACUUUACCUAUAAUGGAGGAAGAAAAAGCUUUGAGGGGAAAAGAAGAAUCUACUUUAGAAGAUUAUGAACGAAUUCCAAUAGAGGCGUUUGGUUUAGCAGUAUUACGUGGAAUGGGAUGGAAACCGGGACAAGGAAUUGGUAAAAAUGAAAAAUUAGUAACGACUGUUAUACCUGAAUUACGUCCAAAAGGAAUGGGUCUUGGAGCGGAUAAAAUAACAAUACAAAAACAAGUAACUAAAUCUAAGGACAAAAAAGAAAAAGAAAUACAAAUUGAGAAAGGUACCUAUGUGAAGAUCACAAGUGGUAAAUAUGUUAAUGCUUAUGGUCAAAUAGAAGGGUUAGACGACGAUGCUGGAAGAUUAAUUAUCAAAAUGGCUUUGGGAGGAGACACAAUUUCUUUAAAUGAAUUUAUAGUUCAACCGGUGACGAAAGAUGAAUAUGCUGAGAAAGCUAAAGUUUUAAAUGUAGCGAAGUAUAAGGAAUAUAAAAGUAAAGAAAGUCCUAAAUUAGAAAAACGUCCGUCUUUGGAACCUAAUAAAGGUAAUCAAGAUAACGAAAAGGAACAAUCCAAAAAGGAUGAAAGAGGUAAUACUGAAAGACAUAGUGGUAAAAAAAGAAAGAAAAAUGAUGAUCAUAAAACAAAAUCAAAGAAACACAAAAGACACUCGUCGGUCAGCGAUAGUAGUGUCGAAAGAAAAAGCAGAAAGAGAAGAAGUUCUAGCAGUAGCAGUGGUAGCAGUAGGCAUAGAACAAAAAAAUAUAAGAAAACUAAAAAAGCUAAAAAACAUGGUAAUUCGGCGGAACAAUCGAGUAAAAAGCGAAAGAAGAAGGAUAAGGAACGUGAAACAACUGAAGACAAACAUAGUUACAAUAGCGAAACUUUAGAUAAAAAGAAACAUAAACAAAAGAGAUCACGAUCUAGAUCACCUAAAAGAAAAUCCAGAUCUAGAUCAACUAGAAGAUGAUGAUAUACAUUUGUUAAAUUAACUUUUCUUUAACUGCCAAAUUCUGUAAUAUUUCAUUUAUGUACAGUGGAAUUUGGGAUUGCAAGUAACUUGGCUUACAAGUAAAACAAAAGCUGAUAAAAAAUUUUUGAUUUGAUUAACGAACGAUGUCUCACAAUACAAGCAGUACAAAAAUGCUUGGCAAACUACAAGCAUAUUCGUAGUAAAUAAAGUGCGAAUUAACUUGUUUAAUUUUUCUUAGUAUUUUGUAUUUUAUAUUAUUUUUAUAUGAAUUAAUAAUUGUGGAACUAAUAAUCUAAUUUAUCAUUAUGUAUUUAUUAUGAUGAUAUUUGCUUUGAUAUACGAAUGCUUUUGAUUACAAGCACAUUUCUAUAAUGAAUUAUGCUCGCAAACCGAGAUUCCACAGUAUCAUUUUAUCUCUUAAUAAAAUUUAUUUUUGCAUACAUUUUUAUAUAAAUCUAUUUUUAAUUCAUAAUAUCUAGAAUGCAUGAAAAUCAUCUUUUCAAUGGCCUUAUCUAGUUGAAAAAACUAAUUUCCAUAUAAUCACAAAAGUUAAACAACUAUGAGAACAAUUAAGGCAGUUACCUAUUCGAGUAUUAAUUGUACAACGCACUAUUUUUAAAGAACCUCUCACCUGUAGAAUGGAGAGUAAUAACGAAAGAAUCUAUAUAAAUAUUAAUUAUCUUGUUUAUUAUAUAUAAAACUCGUAUGAUGAUAUCUUGGACAUAUACGUGGUUUACAUUUUUGAUUAGAUUAAUCUUACGUCAUCCUGUACAUAUUUUCUCUCAAACUAUAUCUGCACUUGAAUACUGCAUUCAUGCCAUAACCUAAGUAUCAUGCUACAUACAAAGAUACUCAAGCAGAGUAUCAGGACCAUGUCAACACUCCGUUUAGCGUUAGUACAACUUGCUGUGGGUGAUGAUAAGACGAAAAAUUUGACACGAGCUGUUGAUUAUAUCGAACAAGCUAAAAAAAAUCGUGCGGACAUCGUCGUAUUACCAGAGUGUUUUAAUUCUCCUUAUGGAACAUCUCAUUUCCCAAAAUAUGCAGAAGAAAUUCCAAAAGGUCAGACGAGCAUUGCGUUGUCUGAUGCGGC